rnacentral:rRNA from 1 species
CGCGUAGGCGGUUCCGAAAGUGGCAUGUGAAAUCCUCUGGCUCAACCAGAGAAGUGCGUGCCAAACUUCGGUUCUAGAGGAUGGUAGGGGGGACUGGAACUCUCGGUGGAGCGGUGAAAUGCGUAGAUAUCGAGAGGAACACCGGUGGCGAAGGCGAGUCCCUGGUCCAUCACUGACGCUGAGGCGCGAAAGCGUGGGUAGCAAACA